CUGACGGUACCUGACGAAUCAGCAUCGGCUAACUCCGUGCCAGCAGCCGCGGUAAUACGGAGGAUGCAAGCGUUAUCCGGAUUUAUUGGGCGUAAAGCGUCCGCAGGUGGUUUUUCAAGUCUGCUGUUAAAGCGCAGAGCUUAACUCUGUAACGGCGGUGGAAACUGAGAGACUAGAGUAUGGUAGGGGUUGCGGGAAUUCCCAGUGUAGCGGUGAAAUGCGUAGAUAUUGGGAAGAACACCAGCGGCGAAAGCGCGCAACUGGGCCAUUACUGACACUCAUGGACGAAAGCUAGGGGAGCGAAAGGGAUUAGAUACCCCUGUAGUCCUAGCUGUAAACGAUGGGUACUAGGUGUUGACCGUAUCGACCCGGUCAGUGCCGUAGCUAACGCGUUAAGUACCCCGCCUGGGGGAGUAUGCACGCAAGUGUGAAACUCAAAGGAAUUGACGGGGGCCCGCACAAGCGGUGGAGUAUGUGGUUUAAUUCGAUGCAACGCGAAGAACCUUACCAGGGCUUGACAUGUCGCGAAUCUCGGCGAAAGUCGAGAGUGC
rnacentral:rRNA from 1 species